rnacentral:rRNA from 1 species
CGUUUCGUAGGUGAACCUGCGGAAGGAUCAUUGAAUAUGCAAACCACAACACGCACUCCCUAUUUGUGUACCGACGUUAGGUCAACACACGCAAGUGUGUGGCCUACUAACCUACACACCAUUGACCAACCAAUAAUCAAACCAAACUCUGAAGCUUUGGCUGCUGUUAAUCGGCAGUUUUAACAAAGAACAACUCUCAACAACGGAUAUCUUGGCUCUCGCAACGAUGAAGAACGCAGCGAAAUGCGAUACGUAGUGUGAAUUGCAGAAUUCCGUGAACCAUCGAAUCUUUGAACGCAUAUUGCGCUCGACCCCCCGGGGAAGAGCAUGUCUGCCUCAGCGUCGGUUUACACCCUCACCCCACUUACUUCACAGUAAGCGCUUGCUGCGUUGUAUGACCAGCAACUGGGAUGGAUCUGGCCCUCCCAAUUGAAGCAAUUCGUUUGGGUUGGCUGAAGCACAGAGGCUUAAACUGGGACCCGUACCGGGCUCAACUGGAUAGGUAGCAACACCUUCGGGUGCCUACACGAAGUUGUGUCUGAGGACCUGGUUAGGAGCCAAGCAGGAAACAUGGAAACAUGUACUCUGUAUUCGACCUGAGCUCAGGCAAGGCUACCCGCUGAACUUAAG